rnacentral:rRNA from 1 species
UAGAGGAAGUAAAAGUCGUAACAAGGUCUCCGUUGGUGAACCAGCGGAGGGAUCAUUACUGAGUUUACGCUCUACAACCCUUUGUGAACAUACCUAUAACUGUUGCUUCGGCGGGUAGGGUCUCCGUGACCCUCCCGGCCUCCCGCCCCCGGGCGGGUCGGCGCCCGCCGGAGGAUAACCAAACUCUGAUUUAACGACGUUUCUUCUGAGUGGUACAAGCAAAUAAUCAAAACUUUUAACAACGGAUCUCUUGGUUCUGGCAUCGAUGAAGAACGCAGCGAAAUGCGAUAAGUAAUGUGAAUUGCAGAAUUCAGUGAAUCAUCGAAUCUUUGAACGCACAUUGCGCCCGCCAGCAUUCUGGCGGGCAUGCCUGUUCGAGCGUCAUUUCAACCCUCAAGCUCUGCUUGGUGUUGGGGCCCUACAGCUGAUGUAGGCCCUCAAAGGUAGUGGCGGACCCUCCCGGAGCCUCCUUUGCGUAGUAACUUUACGUCUCGCACUGGGAUCCGGAGGGACUCUUGCCGUAAAACCCCCAAUUUUCCAAAGGUUGACCUCGGAUCAGGUAGGAAUACCCGCUGAACUUAAGCAUAUCAAUAAGCGGAGGAA